rnacentral:misc_RNA from 1 species
CUGAUUCUCAGAUUGAAUCUCUGAAUGCAGAAACAAAGCCCAAAUCAGCUUAUGAACCAAUCACAGAGGAAGUUGAUUCUCUGUCAGCACCGGAAAACUGAAGCAUCACCUGGUUAUGAUGAAGGUUGACAAAAUAAUGUACAUGCUUUAAUACAAUGUACUGCAUGGUACUGUAAAUUAAAUUGAUGGGUGGGUGAGGGAUUUUAGGGAGCUUUGUUUGAAGAUAGGCUCUCAAACACAGAACAAGCUGUUCAUUCAGUAACUGAAUAAUGAUUGAUAGUAUGUGAUACUGUCUUACAAUGGCACGUUAUGACAUUUUGUUUAGCAUUGCAAGUUAUAAAAUGAACAAUAUUAGUACAGUUUGACAUGCUGUAAAAUUAUGACUUGUAGAUGUGAAAAAAUGUAUCAUUAAAUUCAACUUGUUAAA